CGUAGUCUUUUUGUUUUUUACAAAUACUUCUUGCAAAUAAUUAUUACUGUUUCUUAUACGGAUAUAUAAGCCACAAGUUUUAUUGAUUUAGUCCAUCUUAACUCAACAUCAACAAAAAAAAAGAAAAAGAAUACACGCUCUAUCAAAAAAUGAACAAUAAUGCAAAACUGUGGAAAGAAAGCAUUUUACGGAGGCCAUCUUUGAGAGGUCUAAAGAAGUGUCCUUGCGGUUUUUUAAAUGGUCAGCGCUCUUUAAUUUGUCGCAAUGUUGGUUGUGAAUUGCGUCAAUUAGCCUUAGAGUCUAUUAAACCAUUUGAUCCGAUUCAAUUGAUAACUUACAAUAAGACCCAGAUGUAUUCGAUGCGAUGCAAAGAAAAAUUAAUUAGUUUACGCAAUUUUGUUAUCAUUGCCGAACAAUCCCUGGAUUUGAAGUUACCAUGUAGCGCAGUUGUGCCUUAUGCAGUUUGCUACAUAGACAAAUGUAAAUAUGGUGGUAAUGAUUCCUCCCAACCUAUUUGUAAGCAUAUUAACGCCUGUUCAUCUCUAAACGGAAAAUCGAACAAAGCUGAGGUAUAUCGUGUUGAUAAGAGUAUCUUGUGGAAUUUGAAUAUUAAUGAAGAUAAGAAGAACUUAUUAUGGCAGCUAUACGAAAGCGACGAAAAAUCCAUUCCGGCAGUUCAACGUGUUAAUUCAAAUAUAUUUGCUGUAAAAUGUACACAAUCUGAUGUCUUUCCAGCAGGACGUUUGCACACAACUGUGUUCACUAAUAAUGUAGUCAAUAAAAAGGGAACAUUCCUUUGUGCUUGUAGGAAACUAAAAAUCAUAGUGGAAUCAGACAAUACUAUUACUAUGAAAAAUGAAAUUUGCGAUCAUCUAUUGCUGCUAUUGGCAGCCAUACUAAGCCAUUCAAGCCACAAAACAUUGUUUACGGCUUUUUUGGAUACACUGGAAACCUUGUGGAUGCCCGUAGUUGCCAAUGUCCCUUCUAGUAAUAUAGUAAAUGGAGAUUUCGGUUCAACCGACAUAUUGCAUCAAGCUCCUAUUGGCAGUGGUAAAAAUCUUAUUUCGGACUCUCACGAAGAUGCUGACAUUUUUAAUUAUACUGAAGACAUGUUUACGGAAAGUGUGAUACCAGAUUUUGUAGAUAUUGCAUGGGAUGUGGAAAAUGCUAAACAAAUUCCUUUGGAAUCUAAUGAAUUUUUAGUAGAAUUUAAACCUAGCAAUUUUUACAUGAAGGACCCGAAAUUGAUAUCAACCUCGGCAACUGCCAGCGAUGAAGAUAUGGAUCUCCUUCCCACUAAUUCAUAUGUCAAGUCGCCUGUGCGACUGACACCCACCACAAACAUAACUAAUAAUUUACGAAGCCCCGUCCAAAUGCUACAAUUUAAUGAACCCUUAACCGACAAAAUAUGUUUAUUAAAGGAAAGCAAUUUAAGACCAGCAAUCGUAGAUAAAAAGCAGAUUCCGCAGUUAUUAAAGCCAUUCGAUUCAGCACCAAUUUCGAAAGCAUUUGUUAAGCAAAUAAGUAUUCCGAUGAAAAAAUCCACCGACAGAACAUGUAAUGAGACCGCGGCAAAUCAGCAAACAGCAGAAAUGCUUUCAAUUGAUCAUUUAAAACAGUUUUUGUUGCAUUCGAGGCCGUGUGUCAAAGAGAGUGCAGAGAAGGUGGAAAUAAUGGAUACUACAACGAAUGCUGCGCCUUCACUUUCAUAUACAGGAUGGUUGGAACAUGUUAUUGAAAUGUUAAACGACUCUAUUGUUGUAAAAGAAUCGAAUAAUGUUAGACAUAGUUUUCAUGUUCAUGAGGAAAUGUUUGCAUAUUUUAGCAAAAACUUUAGUUUAAAUAUUAAAAAACGACGGCUACCAAACUCUACGUCCGUUAUAAAGAAUGGGAAAUAUAAAGGUUUAAUUAAAUACACUUGGUAUUUUAUGCAAAGUCCUACAGUACAAAGAAUAUUUUCAACAAAAAAUUUGAAAUUACAAACAGAGCGCACUUAUGAAUUGUUAGACGAUGGUAGCUUAGCGCCUUUUAAGCUGAACACCUUAGGUCUGCCAAUCACAAAAGGUCGUCUCAUAUGUCCGAAAGUGAAAUUAUACAAAGCUUUCAUAAAUUUUAGUACAACUACCAACAAGCACUUCUCAGCAAACAAUCAAACGUCUCAAACGUCUGGUGUCAAAAUAGAGUGGUUACCCAUAUAUCCAAAAAGUCAUUUUGGUCUUAUGGCUGUUGAAUUUUGUGUGUGCGUACAGGAAAGUCAAUAGAUGAGCGGCCUAUUGCAUGUAAACCCGUAUUUUAAUCUUACACAACUAAAUAACGAGGCAACCAAUUUUAUUCAACAAUACGAAAGCAAGAAUAUGCUAAAAUUACGUUACGUAUAUAUAGAUAAUCUCUGCAAAACUCGCUAACGGCUAUUUGUCAUCGAUCUGCACCAAUGCAGACGCAGAACCCACUAAACAGGUUGGAUCGUAUUUUAAAUGGGUCACUCAACUUCUAACUUUCAUGCGUAGUCAGUCAGACGAAUUGUCGAUAUGAGCGUCGACGCUUUCGACAAGCUCUUAAGAGAGGAUUAAUUGAAAUGAUGGACAUAAUUACAUCCUUUGUUCAGUAUAAAAACCAACUAUGCACGGUUACGGGUACAUUUUACAUAUUACAUUUUGCGUGAACAUCAUCAAUUUGCCGAGACUUCCCGAGAUAACCGUGAUGCCCGAAAUUUAAUAUGUACAAAUCAUGGAUUGGCGAAAAAAUUCCAUUGGAUAUCGGAUGCACCUGCUUCGUGUUAAGGUCGAAUUGUCACCUCAUCUCGAAUUGUUAGCGUAAGACAUAGACUUAGCUACAUAUUUCUACUUUCGAGCGUUUCACUACGACAGCAAAGGUACAAUGAACGAGUGAGAACUCAUAGAGAUCUGGCAUAAGCGAUUCAGUUCGACGCUAGCUACGAGGAACAGCCAUGCCUCGAUUCGUGCCCGAGAAAGAUUGGAUUUCAUAUAAUAAUCGUACAAAAAAUGUUAUCGGUAUAACUAAAAUAUUUUUAUUCGUAGAUAAGUAGGUACAAAAGCGUAAAAGUUUAGAUAACGUUGCCCACAACAAACACACGAAUAUUAAUUUCAUUAAAUAAUGAUGGCAAUAAAUGUAAUAAAUGUGACACAACCGUUCGACAUCGUUUUGCGAUUGUAGCAAAAGUUUAUAUGUGUACAAAUAUCGUU